AGAUUGAACGCUGGCGGCAUGCCUUACGCAUGCAAGUCGAACGGCAGCACGGGAGCAAUCCUGGUGGCGAGUGGCGAACGGGUGAGUAAUAUAUCGGAACGUGCCCAGUCGUGGGGGAUAACGCAGCGAAAGCUGUGCUAAUACCGCAUACGAUCUAUGGAUGAAAGCGGGGGAUCGCAAGACCUCGCGCGAUUGGAGCGGCCGAUAUCAGAUUAGCUAGUUGGUAGGGUAAAAGCCUACCGAAGGCGACGAUCUGUAGCUGGUCUGAGAGGACGACCAGCCACACUGGAACUGAGACACGGUCCAGACUCGACGGGAGCAGCAGGUGGGAAUUUGGAACAAGUGGGACGACGAAGCCUAGACUCCGAGCAAGUCGACCG
rnacentral:rRNA from 1 species